UACGUAGGUGGCAAGCGUUGUCCGGAUUUACUGGGCGUAAAGAGCGCGCAGGCGGUCGUUCAAGUCGCGUGUGAAAGCCCCCGGCUCAACUGGGGAGGGUCACGCGAUACUGAUCGACUCGAAGGCAGGAGAGGGUAGUGGAAUUCCCGGUGUAGUGGUGAAAUGCGUAGAUAUCGGGAGGAACACCAGUGGCGAAGGCGACUCCCUGGGCUGUUCUUGACGCUAAGGCGCGAAAGCUAGGGGAGCAAACGGG
rnacentral:rRNA from 1 species